UUGGAGAGAACAUAUCAAUGGAUCAGAGGAUUGAGCACUCCUACCUGCCCAUCAGAGGCCUGAAGCUUCACAUAGCUCACAUUGGAAAAGGUCUGAAUCUUACCUCAUUUUUGUUGACAUCAGCAUCUCUCUGCUUUUUUUUGCUCUUCCGAAAGAAUGCAGCUCAGCUUCUUGAUUUGGUUAUUCCAGGUGAAGCUGCAACUCUGCUCUUCGUUCAUGGCUUCCCUGAGGUGUGGUACUCAUGGAGGCACCAGAUGAUUGCAGCAGCAGCAGCCGGGUUCCGUGCUAUUGCACUUGAUUUCCCAGGCUAUGGCCUCUCGGAGCCACCGGCUGACCUAACACAGGCGUCAUGGCAGGGCCUGAUGAAUGACCUCUUGGCCAUUCUAGACUCGCUGUCGAUUCCCAAGGUGUUCCUUGUUGCAAAGGAUUUUGGAGUCAAACCAGCAUAUGAUCUUGCCCUCUGCCAUCCGGACCGCGUAUGUGGUAUUGUGAGCUUAGGUGUGCCACCUCUUGUGGAAAGCCUCAGUUUCAGUGGACUUCCUGAGGGAUUUUACAUACACAGAUGGAGGGAACCUGGGAGAGCAGAGGCGGAUUUUGGCCGAUUCGACACGAGGAGGAUCUUGCGCACAAUCUACAUCCUCUUCUCCAGGAGUGAGAUUCCAGUUGCCAAGCAAGGACAAGAGAUCAUGGACCUUGCAGAUGAAUCAACACCGAUGCCUCAGUGGUUCACCGAAGAAGACCUCUCAGCUUACACCGACCUGUAUGAGAAAUCAGGUCUCAUGACUGCUAUCCAAAUUCCAUAUAGGACCAAGGCUGCAAAAGCAGAAGGUGCUAAUCCAAGGUUUGAAAUGCCAAUGUUUGUGAUUAUGGGUCAGAAAGACUACAUCCUCAAGUUUCCAGCACUGAAGGAAUAUAUGUCAAGUGAAAAACUGAAAGAAAUUGCUCCAGACUACGGGAUCACUUACAUCCCAGAAGGAUCCCAUUUUGUUCAGGAGCAAUUCCCUGACCUGGUGAAUCAGCUUGUGAUAGACUUCGUCAGUAAACAUGCAUGAGAUAGCAACAAAAACAAGGUGCAAUUUGACAAAUCCCCAGACUGCAAAAGAUUUAAUACUACAAAUUUGUACCACCUAGCAGGAUGUGAUGCAAGAGCUAUUUCAACUUCCAGUAGAAUAACUCUCUUGUACAUUAUGUCAACGCAUGGGGCAAAAGAAAAUCAAAAACCUGGAAACUUCAACCACAAACUACUAAAAACUAAUUGGUGUGCCAUGCUAGAUAUACAUGAAAGGUUCUAAUAACCUGGGUGAGCCUGCUCUGGCAUGUAUGUACAUCUAUUGUUUUCAGCUAAAC